rnacentral:rRNA from 1 species
GAUGAACGCUAGCGACAGGCUUAACACAUGCAAGUCGAGGGGCAGCGGGGCUUCGGCCGCCGGCGACCGGCGCACGGGUGCGUAACGCGUAUGCAACCUACCUAUAUCUGGGGAAUAGCCCGUUGAAAAGCGGAUUAAUGCCCCAUAGUUCAUAUUUGUCGCAUGAUAGAUAUGAUAAAGAAUUUCGGAUAUAGAUGGGCAUGCGUAUGAUUAGCUAGUUGGCGGGGUAACGGCCAACAAAGGCAACGAUCAUUAGGGGUUCUGAGAGGAAGGUCCCCCAAACUGGUACUGAGACGCGGACCAGACUCCUACGGGAGGCAGCAGUGAGGAAUAUUGGUCAAUGGGCGCAAGCCUGAACCAGCCAUGUCGCGUGCAGGAAGACUGCCCUAUGGGUUGUAAACUGCUUUUGUACGGGGGGAAAUGCUCUACGUGUAGAGCUAUGACAGUACCGUAUGAAUAAGGAUCGGCUAACUCCGUGCCAGCCGCCGCUGUAACAC